CAGUGCAGUGAGGCGGUCGCCAUCUUGGCCGGUGUUGAUGAUAUUUUAAAAGCUGCAGGUACAGCGCAGGCUUGCCAAGCAGCACAUCCUUGAACCCUGCCACCUUGUUGCUGGACCCAGAUCUGGAGGGACCCCUCCAUGAUUGUGCUGAGAUCCUGAGUCGAGUUUACAGCAUUAGAGAAUGCCUGGCCAACCAGCCUCUGCCAGACACUGAAGUUACUUGGUAUACUGAUGGCAGCAGGUUCAUGAAAGAUGGACAAAGGACCUCCAACUUUACCUGACACUCCAGGGUAUUCAAAGGAGGACACCAAACAGAUUAGUAAGUUGCCUUUAACACAAGAGGGCGCUGGAGAUUGGAUCAAAAGUGGAGACGAUAAGUUGAUCCUUCCCACACACCUGGCUCAACAACUUUUCCAACAUUUGCACCGGUCUACACAUCUGGGCACAAAGUGGACUGAAGAACUGAUAAGACACAGUCACCUUAAAAUACUUAAUUUAAGAUCUCAAAUU